UACGUAGGGUGCGAGCGUUGCCCGGAUUUAUUGGGCGUAAAGGGCGCGUAGGCGGGCUGUCCAGUCUGGGGUGAAAUCCCGCGGCUCAACCGUGGAACUGCCUUAGAUACUGACGGCCUCGAGGGAGGUAGGGGCGUGCGGAACUGUGGGUGGAGCGGUGAAAUGCGUUGAUAUCCACAGGAACUCCGGUGGCGAAGGCGGCACGCUGGACCCCACCUGACGCUGAGGCGCGAAAGCCAGGGGAGCGAACGGG
rnacentral:rRNA from 1 species